CCCGGCGGGCGGGCGGGGGCCCGGGGGGCCUACGGGAGGCAGCAGUGGGGAAUAUUGCACAAUGGGCGCAAGCCUGAUGCAGCCAUGCCGCGUGUGUGAAGAAGGCCUUCGGGUUGUAAAGCACUUUCAGUCGUGAGGAAGGUGUGUAGUUAAUAGCUGCAUAUUUGACGUUAGCGACAGAAGAAGCACCGGCUAACUCCGUGCCAGCAGCCGCGGUAAUACGGAGGGUGCGAGCGUUAAUCGGAAUUACUGGGCGUAAAGCGCAUGCAGGUGGUUUGUUAAGUCAGAUGUGAAAGCCCGGGGCUCAACCUCGGAAUAGCAUUUGAAACUGGCAGACUAGAGUACUGUAGAGGGGGGUAGAAUUUCAGGUGUAGCGGUGAAAUGCGUAGAGAUCUGAAGGAAUACCGGUGGCGAAGGCGGCCCCCUGGACAGAUACUGACACUCAGAUGCGAAAGCGUGGGGAGCAAACAGGAUUAGAUACCCUGGUAGUCCACGCCGUAAACGAUGUCUACUUGGAGGUUGUGGCCUUGAGCCGUGGCUUUCGGAGCUAACGCGUUAAGUAGACCGCCUGGGAACGCC
rnacentral:rRNA from 1 species